rnacentral:lncRNA from 1 species
GCCUGUGAUUGGAACUCACUCCUUCUUGAACAUCAGAGAACCAAUCCAGGAGAGAAUGCCUACAAGUGUGAAGAAUGUGGUAAGGCUUCUGGUUCUUGCUCAGUACUUUCUGAACACCGUAUAAUUGAUACAGAAGAGAAAGCCUACAAGUGUGAAGAAUGUGGCAAAGUCAUGUGUACGUGCUCAGGAAAUUCUAGCUACCGGAGAAUUUGUAUUGGAGAAAACCCCUACAAGUGUGAAGAAUGUGGAAAAGCCUUUUCUACUUAUUCGUAUCUUGCUCAGCAUGAGGUAGAGCACACUGGACAGAAAUUUUAUAACUGUGAAGAAUGUGGGAAAAUGUUUUAUUUUCCUUCUCACCUUACAGAACAUCAGAAAAUUCAUUCUCAAGAGAAUCUCUUUAAGAUUGAAGUGUG